rnacentral:rRNA from 1 species
GAUGAACGCUGGCGGCGUGCUCAACGCAUGCGAGUCGAACGGUGAAGGCGGAGCUUGCUCUGCUGGAUCAGUGGCGAACGGGUGAGUAACACGUGAGCAAUCUGCCCCUGACUCUGGGAUAAGCGCUGGAAACGGCGUCUAAUACUGGAUACGAGCUGCGAAGGCAUCUUCAGCAGCUGGAAAGAAUUUCGGUCAGGGAUGAGCUCGCGGCCUAUCAGCUUGUUGGUGAGGUAAUGGCUCACCAAGGCGUCGACGGGUAGCCGGCCUGAGAGGGUGACCGGCCACACUGGGACUGAGACACGGCCCAGACUCCUACGGGAGGCAGCAGUGGGGAAUAUUGCACAAUGGGCGAAAGCCUGAUGCAGCAACGCCGCGUGAGGGACGACGGCCUUCGGGUUGUAAACCUCCUUUAGCAGGGAAGAAGCGAAAGUGACGGUACCUGCAGAAAAAGCGCCGGCUAACUACGUG